GACGAACGCUGGCGGCGUGCUUAACACAUGCAAGUCGAACGGAAAGGCCCUGCUUUUGUGGGGUGCUCGAGUGGCGAACGGGUGAGUAACACGUGAGUAACCUGCCCUUGACUUUGGGAUAACUUCAGGAAACUGGGGCUAAUACCGGAUAGGAGCUCCUGCUGCAUGGUGGGGGUUGGAAAGUUUCGGCGGUUGGGGAUGGACUCGCGGCUUAUCAGCUUGUUGGUGGGGUAGUGGCUUACCAAGGCUUUGACGGGUAGCCGGCAUGAGAGGGUGACCGGCCACAUUGGGACUGAGAUACGGCCCAGACUCCUACGGGAGGCAGCAGUGGGGAAUAUUGCACAAUGGGCGGAAGCCUGAUGCAGCAACGCCGCGUGCGGGAUGACGGCCUUCGGGUUGUAACCCGCUUUCGCCUGUGACGAAGCGUGAGUGACGGUAAUGGGUAAAGAAGCACCGGCUAACUACGUG
rnacentral:rRNA from 1 species